CUUUUAGGAUCCAGCGCUGGAGGUCCUGUGGUUUUCACCACGCACCAUUGUACAGCAAAGACUCGUGGGAAGGGAAAUCAAAGAAUUUGUGAAUCUCGCCUGAACAUCGCCACGGUUGACGAUGGAGAAUAUUGUCGUUGGGGCAAGCCGCUCAAAGCUGACCCCUAAGUCCCAGGCGCCCCCUGUGGAUCCGGCCCACCUAAAUCGGUCAGUCGUUUCACUCUGCAAACACACAUGCCUUGUUCUCUUCUGUUCUAGAACCCAAGACGACAGGAGGAGACUAGAGCCCCGGCAGUUCUCCCGGGAGCCGCCACCCCGUUUCUGGGAACACAGGACUGACUGUCAACACUCUGCGUUCACACGGAAGCUUUCUCUUCUCCAAAAGCAGCAAGAGAAGCUUGUGGAGAUGAUGCCCCUUGGUUUAAUUCAGAGCUGGAGUAUCCUCAGGAAAAGCCUGCCCUUGAGACUCCAUGUUCAGUGCCGUCCGAAAGCCUUGUCUCCGGGACUGAAGGCUGGGUGGAACCGUCAGGCACGGUCCCCACCCUCGGCCUGGCCCUCGAUGGACGCUGGGUUUAUCACUGGCCACUUGGAGAUGUGGCUCGGGACAGACACGCAGCUCUCCGAGUGGCGCAGACAAGAGGAACAGAAGACAUAAACCCCUGGAAAUGAGCUCCACUCGCUGCCUCCCCUCCAGGGUUUCUGAGAACUGCCUCUGCCUUAAGCCCUCUGGCUUUGCCGAGGAUUGAGGCCUGCAAAAUUCUAGCAACUUCAGAACUCAGCGGUGAUCUCUGGGGACCUGGGGGCUGGCUGUCCGGUCCGCCUCCCCCCAGCCCCCCCCACCAUCCUCUGUCCUGCAGCCCCUCCCCCCAGCCCCCCCACCAUCCUCUGUCCUGCAGCCCCUCCCCCCAGC
rnacentral:lncRNA from 1 species